rnacentral:rRNA from 1 species
GAUGAACGCUGGCGGCGUGCUUAACACAUGCAAGUCGAACGGUGAAGGCGGAGCUUGCUCUGCUGGAUCAGUGGCGAACGGGUGAGUGACACGUGAGCAAUCUGCCCCUGACUCUGGGAUAAGCGCUGGAAACGGCGUCUAAUACUGGAUACGAGCUGCGAAGGCAUCUUCAGCAGCUGGAAAGAAUUUCGGUCAGGGAUGAGCUCGCGGCCUAUCAGCUUGUUGGUGAGGUAAUGGCUCACCAAGGCGUCGACGGGUAGCCGGCCUGAGAGGGUGACCGGCCACACUGGGACUGAGACACGGCCCAGACUCCUACGGGAGGCAGCAGUGGGGAAUAUUGCACAAUGGGCGAAAGCCUGAUGCAGCAACGCCGCGUGAGGGACGACGGCCUUCGGGUUGUAAACCUCUUUUAGCAGGGAAGAAGCGAAAGUGACGGUACCUGCAGAAAAAGCGCCGGCUAACUACGUG